rnacentral:rRNA from 1 species
AUUGAACGCUGGCGGCAGGCCUAACACAUGCAAGUCGAGCGGAUGAAGGGAGCUUGCUCCUGGAUUCAGCGGCGGACGGGUGAGUAAUGCCUAGGAAUCUGCCUGGUAGUGGGGGAUAACGUCCGUAAACGGGCGCUAAUACCGCAUACGUCCUGAGGGAGAAAGUGGGGGAUCUUCGGACCUCACGCUAUCAGAUGAGCCUAGGUCGGAUUAGCUAGUUGGUAGGGUAAAGGCCUACCAAGGCGACGAUCCGUAACUGGUCUGCGAGGGUGAUCAGCCACAGUGGAAAUGAGACACGGUCCAGACUACGACGGGAGGCAGCAGUAGGGAAUCUUCCGAAAUGGGCGAAAGUCUGACGGAGCAACGCUGCGUGAGUGAUGAAGGUAUUCGAAUCGUAAAAUUCUGUUAGUAGGGAAGAAAAUAUGUGUAAGUAACUGUGCACAUCUUGACGGUACCUAAUCAGAAAGCCACGGCUAACUACGUG